rnacentral:rRNA from 1 species
UACAGAGGUGGCAAGCGUUGUUCGGAAUUACUGGGCGUAAAGGGCGCGUAGGCGGUUCGUCAAGUCCUGUGUGAAAUCCCCCGGCUCAACUGGGGAACUGCACAGGAAACUAGCGGGCUUGAGUUCGGGAGAGGGAAGCGGAAUUCCGGGUGUAGCGGUGAAAUGCGUAGAUAUCUGGAGGAACACCGGUGGCGAAGGCGGCAUCCUGGACCGAUACUGACGCUGAGGAGCGAAAGCCAGGGGAGCAAACGGG